UACACACGCGGGGUGGAUUAGUGGCGAACGGGUGAGUAACACGUGAGUAACCAUGCCCUUGACUCUGGGAUAAGCCUGGGAAACUGGGUCUAAUACUGGAUAUGACUUCUCACCGCAUGGUGGGGGGUGGAAAGAUUUAUUGGUCUUGGAUGGACUCGCGGCCUAUCAGCUUGUUGGUGAGGUAAUGGCUCACCAAGGCGACGACGGGUAGCCGGCCUGAGAGGGUGACCGGCCACACUGGGACUGAGACACGGCCCAGACUCCUACGGGAGGCAGCAGUGGGGAAUAUUGCACAAUGGGCGCAAGCCUGAUGCAGCGACGCCGCGUGAGGGAUGACGGCCUUCGGGUUGUAAACCUCUUUCAGUAGGGAAGAAGCGAAAGUGACGGUACCUGCAGAAGAAGCGCCGGCUAACUACGUGCCAGCAGCCGCGGUAAUACGUAGGGCGCGAGCGUUAUCCGGAAUUAUUGGGCGUAAAGAGCUCGUAGGCGGUUUGUCGCGUCUGCCGUGAAAGUCCGGGGCUUAACCCCGGAUCUGCGGUGGGUACGGGCAGACUAGAGUGCAGUAGGGGAGACUGGAAUUCCUGGUGUAGCGGUGAAAUGCGCAGAUAUCAGGAGGAACACCGAUGGCGAAGGCAGGUCUCUGGGCUGUAACUGACGCUGAGGAGCGAAAGCAUGGGGAGCGAACAGGAUUAGAUACCCUGGUAGUCCAUGCCGUAAACGUUGGGCACUAGGUGUGGGGGACAUUCCACGUUUUCCGCGCCGUAGCUAACGCAUUAAGUGCCCCGCCUGGGGAGUACGGCCGCAAGGCUAAAACUCAAAGGAAUUGACGGGGGCCCGCACAAGCGGCGGAGCAUGCGGAUUAAUUCGAUGCAACGCGAAGAACCUUACCAAGGCUUGACAUGUUCCUGACCGCCGUAGAGAUACGGUUUCCCCUUUGGGGCAGGUUCACAGGUGGUGCAUGAUUGUCGUCUAUGUU
rnacentral:rRNA from 1 species